rnacentral:rRNA from 1 species
UAUUGGUGAAGUGGGUGAUCCUAUGCUGUCGAGAAAAACCUCUAGCGAGCUAUGCGCCGCCCGUACCCCAAACCGACUCAGGUGAUCAGGUAGAGAAUACCAAGGCGAUCGAGAUAACCAUGGUUAAGGAACUCGGCAAAAUGCCCACGUAACUUCGGGAGAAGGGGGGCCCGGAGCGUGUACCCACUUGCUGGGGAAGCGUGAAGGGCCGCAGAGACCAGGCCCAAGCGACUGUUUACUAAAAACACAGGUCCGUGCGAAGUUGUAAGACGAUGUAUACGGACUGACUCCUGCCCGGUGCUGGAAGGUUAAGAGGACGGGUUAGACGUAAGUCGAAGCUCAGAAUUUAAGCCCCAGUAAACGGCGGUGGUAACUAUAACCAUCCUAAGGUAGCGAAAUUCCUUGUCGGGUAAGCUCCGACCUGCACGAAUGGAGUAACGACUUGGGCGCUGUCUCAACCAUGGACUCGGCGAAAUUGCACUACGAGUAAAGAUGCUCGUUACGCGCGGCAGGACGGAAAGACCCCGGGACCUUUACUAUAGUUUGGUAUUGGUGUUUGGUUCGGCUUGUGUAGGAUAGGUGGGAGACUUCGAAGCAGCCACGCCAGUGGUUGUGGAGUCAUCGUUGAAAUACCACUCUGGUCGUACUAGAUGUCUAACCUAGGUCCGUUAUCCGGAUCAGGGACAGUGCCUGAUGGGUAGUUUAACUGGGGCGGUUGCCUCCUAAAAUGUAACGGAGGCGCUCAAAGGUUCCCUCAGCCUGGUUGGCAAUCAGGUGUUGAGUGUAAGUGCACAAGGGAGCUUGACUGUGAGACAGACAUGUCGAGCAGGGACGAAAGUCGGAACUAGUGAUCCGGCCACGGCAUGUGGAAGCGUGGUCGCUCAACGGAUAAAAGGUACCCCGGGGAUAACAGGCUGAUCUUCCCCAAGAGUCCAUAUCGACGGGAUGGUUUGGCACCUCGAUGUCGGCUCGUCGCAUCCUGGGGCUGGAGUAGGUCCCAAGGGUUGGGCUGUUCGCCCAUUAAAGCGGCACGCGAGCUGGGUUUAGAACGUCGUGAGACAGUUCGGUCCCUAUCCGCCGCGCGCGUAGGAAACUUGAGAAAGGCUGUCCCUAGUACGAGAGGACCGGGAUGGACGAACCUCUGGUGUGCCAGUUGUCCCGCCAGGGGCACGGCUGGUUGGCUACGUUCGGAAGUGAUAACCGCUGAAUGCAUCUAAGCGGGAAGCACGUUUCAAGAUGAGGUUUCCCACCAGGUUAACUGGGUAAGGCCCCCCACAGACUAUGGGGUUGAUAGGCCGGAGGUGUACAGCAGUAAUGCCCAGCCGACCGGUACUAAUAGGCC